ensembl:lncRNA
CGCCCGCGUUGGCGACGCGGUGCCCGAUGCCGGAGUGAAGCCAGCGGUUCACUGCUGUGGCGCCGCCUGCCGGAAGGGCCGGAAAGCGCACCCGGAGCCGACCCGCCGCCGCGCUGCCAGAAAUGAGAAAAUGGAACCGAGGGAGCUUGUGAAAGAGGAGAUCCUUGAGACAAAGCGCAGUGCCAGCCAGAAGCUCAGCCUCGGAUACCUGCACGUGGCCGUCAGACAGAAGAUGGGCAUGAAGACGAGAGCAGAGACAGACCCUACAUUGCACCAAGGCCACGUCAGCUAUGCAGGAGACAGUGGACCUGCAAAUGCAACAAGAAACAGGAAGCUCUUCUUUAACGUCCGUUGUUGCCUUCGUCCUCCCAGCGGCUUCUCCUGCAAGAAGAUGUGGAUGAAGAUCAAGUGAGCACCAGGCUGCCGCCAUAUGUGCAGGAACACCUGCAGAAUAAAAAGUCCUGUUCACCAGAGAUGUACCGCUCCUCUUUGCACCCCGGGAAGCAGGCUGGAGGGGAUUGGGCUCUGGGUGUUGCACCCCACCUGAGGGAGAAUGUACGCACUUCCAGAGGGCAGCCCCCAGCCAAGCAGCACCACCCUGGGAAGCCUCAGCUUCAGCCAAGAGCUGGGGGACAAACAGGGGCUCAAGUGCUGAGCAGAGCCUAGGGAACAGAGAACUGGCUUGGGAGCACUGGGGGGUUCCACCACCUGCCAGGAAGCACCCACACUGCGCUUACCAGAACAGAGAGCUUCACGCUGUUGGGCAGCUUCUGGCAUUUCUUGCUCACAACCUCCAGCAGAAGCCAGCUGCAUCACUGCACCUUCCCUGCCGGUGGAGGAGGGCAGGCAAGGUGCAGCUGCCCCCAGGAUGCCGUGUCCCCAGGCACCCCCUACCCCCACGGGAGCAGGGAGGUGCCCCACAGCAGGAAGCAGCACCAGGACCCCAAGUCCUGUUAGGAAGGAAGUGCUGCUGCACCAACAGCCCUGCACCACUGCUCCCCAUACCUCUCUGUUCCCAUUGCAGCCGCUCCGUCCUCCUGGAGAGCAGUGGGCAAGAGUCUUCAGUGCUGCAAGACCAGAACAAAGCUGCAGGGUGGGGGCCCAACCCCCGGGGGAGGGGGGGGUGGUUAGGAACCUGGCACCCGGCACCCCAUCACCCCGCACACAGGAGGAGGGGUGCCGGGAGUGCUUUUGUCCUCUACCUAGCACCCAGCCUCAGCCACAAACGCUGGAGACGCAAGGACAGGGCUCACAUCCUGCAGAGCUGGGAACAGCUUUGCUGCGCUCCAGUCCUCACUGCAGCCCCAGAGCUGCAGGAAGAAGAACUCUGUGAGCCACCUGCAGAGGGAUGCUGGGCUGGCAGCCCCUGCAGCAAGGUGCUUAGGAUUUGACCUCUGAGUGGAGAUUUCCUUACAAGCACUAUCACCUUAGAGGUCACCUCAUAUAGCAUCUUCCGGGUGAAGAAGGAUGCUGUGGAAAACCUCCAAGGCCCUUUCUAGGUGAAUGGUGUCAUCUGGUCUCUUCCCAAGGAGGUCUCUCUGAUACAUUUCUGACACACAGUGUCUCUGAUAGAUCUCUGCUCUGCUACAUUCUUUCCAAGAAGAGUGGAGUGGAGUGGAGUGGAGU